AUGCACUUUUUUCACUUUAGUUCACUAAUUUAAAAAGUAAUCCUUAGAAGAAAUGAACAGUAAAACAAUAGUCAUUUGGCAAUGCAGGGUUGCCCAACUUAAGUAGGCAUACUUUGUUUGCAUAAUUUACAAUUUAACAGAAAAGGCUGUAAUCUUAAGAGGAAAACUCUAUUAAACAAAAUAAUGAAAUGACCUGAAGAAUUUUAUGCAAAUAUUAAUUUGGGACUGCUAUGAGGACAAAGAAUUAAUAGUUCUUAAAUAGCAAGAUAAAAUGCUGUGAGGAUGUGCCUAGGAAAAGUUUGUCAUUUUAGUAAAGACAUAGCUACACUUGCACUUAUCUAGAAAUACAACAUCUAUUCUGCAAAGGUUUUUCUAAGAACAAAGCUGGAACAUUUUGCUAUUUUUAAUUAGUAAGGUUCAGAAAUGGCCCUCUACAAUUCAAAGCUAAGCAUAAGCAAUACUUCAAAUCUUCCAGAUUUCAGUACCUGCUGCAUGAUGUGAAAAAUCCUUUCACAUUGCAGAAGUUAUAAAAAUCAGCAGCUAGAUAAUUUGCAAUUGUCUAUUUUAUACCAUAGAUAUUUGAGACAUUUGUAUAGAAACAGCACCUCAUACUUGUUUUUACUUCAGAAAUUAUGCUAUUUAUCCUGCAUCAUUUUUUUUUUUCAGUUCUUUAACAUCAAUGAGUAGAGAUAUUCCUAGUCAGGCAACUUGUUCAGGAAUGGCCCUAAAGUCUCCACUGAUAUUGUCUCAGCUAGUUUUUAAAUAUGGGAAAUUACUUUUAAACUAAAUUUUUAUGGCAUCCAAUUAAAAGUUAAGAGAUCUAGGGGGUCAGGAAGGCUCGCUGUAAUAUAUUACAGCAUUGCCAGAAAAGAUACAAAAUUUUUCUCUACAAAUGGGAGGUUUCUUAAUGUUUAGUAGGGAAGGCACAGCUUUUUUAUGCACAUCCAAAUCCCCUCUCUCCCAGAGAAGCAGGACAGGCUCCCCAUUCUGAAGGAAAAGGGGAAAAAGGAGAGUGCAUUGCCCAAGUGCUCCAUCUGCAACUCCAUCCCAUGGAGGAGCCGGAGGCACCGCAGCAGCGCUCCCAGAACCGCCUCAGGAAUCCACAGAGCAGCCAGAUGCCAGCCCUGGAAAAACAUGGAAUAUUGCAGGAUAGCUGCAUCCUGUGACUGGCAUCCAGAGAGGGGCCACGAGGCUGGACUGAUGUUCAGGGAUGAGCAGAAGGACCUCUAAUUUGCAGCAAAUUGUCCAAGCCCUUUCCCUGGCUGAAGUGGAGAGGGCAGUCCAGAAGAACCAACCUGCCCAAGGUGGGAACCAAGCAGCAGAAGGCUGAUGGAGACCUGGAUCACACAACAAAAUUUCUCACACCAAAGUCAGCCAAGCAAAGGGAGUUGGAAACAUUUAUUUUUAAGGGGAAUCUUCCUAACCAGGGCAUUGGGGCUGAGAAUCUCCCUUACCAUCUGCAGUGGAACACCGUAGCUGGAAUCAAUAAUCAGUAUUUUUAAUGUUAAAUCAGCACCUUAUGAAGAGGAAAAGCUGUUUAUUUCUUCCAUCUCCAUACUAAAAAAGGAACAAAGACUGGGAGAGCAGAAAUUUGUAAGUACCCCAUGGAGAGAAAAGAACUUUGUGAAAAAAACUCUGCCCCCAAUAAGCAGCUGCAAGAAAUACUUUUCAAUUUGGACUCUUCUGCUCAAUGUGACUGUUUGCACACUUAAUUUCCCAUCAGUUGGAAUUUCAGCAAAAAAGAACACUAUCAUUCCCUUUAGGAUAACUGGAGUACCCUGUUGUGCUAUGAUACAUCCACAUUUUUAAGUUAAAUAGAAUAAAAUUUGCCACAAAGUAAAACA
ensembl:lncRNA